rnacentral:rRNA from 1 species
ACCCGUUGAUCCUGCGGGAGAUUGCUGCUAUUGGAGUUCGAUUAAGCCAUGCAAGUCAGGGGGUCGCAAGACCACCGGCGGAUCGCUCAGUAACACGUAGAUAAUAUGCCCUUAGAUCGGUGAUAGCCUUGGGAAACUGAGGGUAAUAACCGAUAGGAAAUUUGUUCUGGAAAUGAUUUAUUUCUGAAAGGUAACGUCUAAGGAUUAGUCUGUGGCAGAUUAGGCAGUUGGUGAGGUAACGGCCCACCAAACCUAAGAUCUGUAGGGGCCAUGAAAGUGGUAGCCUCGAGAAGGUCACUGAGAUACUGGACCUAGCCCUACGGGGUUCAGCAGGCGCGAAACCUUUACAAUGCGCUAACGCGUGAUAAGGGUACUCCAAGUGCUCAUGUUUUACAUGGGCUUUUGCCAAGGGCGAACACCUUGGCGAAUAAGUGGUGGGUAAGACUGGUGCCAGCAGCCGCGGUAACCCCCGCGCCACAAGUGGUGAUCGGUUUUAUUGGACCUAAAGCAUCCGUAGCUGGCAAAAAAAGUCUCUUGUGAAAUCGGGACGCUUAACGUACCGGACUGCAGGAGAUACUAUUUGGCUUGGAACUGGGAGGAGCAAGAGGAAUUUUGGGGGAAGCGGUAAAAUGCUAUAAUCCCCAAAAGACCACCGAUGGCGAAGGCAUCUUGCUAGAACAGAUUCGACAGUCAGGGAUGAAAGCUAGGGGAGCAAACCGGAUUAGAUACCCGAGUAGUCCUAGCCGUAAACGCUGUGAGUUAGGUGUUGCGUAUUCUUAGGGAAUACGCAGUAUCGUAGUGAAGACGUUAAACUCACCGCCUGGGAAGUAUGGUCGCAAGACUGAAACUUAAAGGAAUUGGCGGGGGAGCACUACAAGGGGUGCGGCGUGCGGUUUAAUCUAACUCCACGCAGAGAAUCUCACCAGAAUUGACGGCAGGAUGAAGGACAGGCUAAAGACUUUUCUUGACGAGCCGAGAGGUAGUGCAUGGCCGCCGUCAGCUCGUGCCGUAAGGUGUCCUGUUAAGUCAGGUAACGAGCAAGACCUGUAUCUACAAUUGCCAGCGAGUGAUUUAUCACGAUCGGGCAUAUUGUAGGGACUGCCUUGGAAACAAGGAGGAAGGUGCAGGCAACGGUAGGUCUGUAUGCUCCGAAUAUUCUGGGCUACACGCGCGCAACAAUGGUAAGGACAAUAGGAUGCAACACCGAAAGGUGAAGCUAACCCUCUAAACCUUAUCCAAGUACAAAUUGAGGUUUGUAACCCAACCUCAUGACGCUGGAAUCCCUAGUAAUCGGGUUUUAUCAUAGCCCGGUGAAUGUGUCCCUGCUCCUUGCACACACCGCCCGUCAAAUCAACCGAGCAGGCUUUAGAUGAGCGUUAGCUUUAUUGGCUCGUGCGAAUCUAAGGUCAGUGAGGUGGGUUAAGUCGUCACAAGGUC